rnacentral:rRNA from 1 species
AGUGAACGCUGGCGGCAGGCCUAAUACAUGCAAGUCGAACGGCAACACAGUGGAGCUUGCUCCAUGGGUGGCGAGUGGCGGACGGGUGAGGAAUACAUGGGAAUCUGCCUAGUCGUGGGGGAUAACGUAGGGAAACUUACGCUAAUACCGCAUGCGCCCUUCGGGGGAAAGCCGGGGACCUUCGGGCCUGGCGCGAUUGGAUGAGCCCAUGUUCGAUUAGCUAGUUGGCGGGGUAAAGGCCCACCAAGGCGACGAUCGAUAGCUGGUCUGAGAGGAUGAUCAGCCACACUGGGACUGAGACACGGCCCAGACUCCUACGGGAGGUAGCAGUAGGGAAUAUUGGACAAUGGGCGCAAGCCUGAUCCAGCCAUGCCGCGUGAGUGAAGAAGGCCCUCGGGUUGUAAAGCUCUUUUGUCCGGGAAGAAAAGCAUCGGGCUAAUACCUCGGUGUUCUGACGGUACCGGAAGAAUAAGCACCGGCUAACUUCGUG